rnacentral:lncRNA from 1 species
UCACCACCCAACUCAUACCCGCCUCAUCGGCUGUUCACACGUGCACUUCCUGAACUACCACAUUCUACAGUGAUAAUAAUGACUGAGUUCUGUCUUAUUCGGUAAAGCUCUUGGGUACAGUGGUGAUCAUGUUACACACAUAUCAAGUGGUGUGGGAAAAAAGCAUCCAGAAGGCAAUUUCAAGCAUGCAAAAUGGGAUCACUGACAUGGAAAAUCAGUGACAUCUGAUUCCCAUUGUGCCAGCCUUCUGUAAAUAUUUGGCUACCUUGUUGCCCCAGGGCACCUGUCUUGGGGAUAACCAAGAAUGUGGAUGGUGAUGGCCAUGGUGCAAGACUCAGCUUCAGUGGGGGCUGCUCCCAGGAUGUCGGGCUCACGGACCCCUCUCAUUGAUGCCAGUCUCAGGUGGCUCUAUCCCUGGAAGAACAUUCAGGUCAUUUUUGCAUCAUUUGAUCCUUGAAACUAUACUAAGAAGGGGUCAGAGUGAUAUCACCGUUUUCUCAAAUGUGAGAAUGAACACUGGCAAGAUAAAGUGACUUAUUCAAACGUACCCAGAGAGCUGAUGAGAAAGUCAAGCCUAGGAAGCAUACACACUAAAUAAUGUCACUGGAGACAAGACGUAGCCCCAUUUUCCAUCUUGUAGUCCCAGUCUCAACCUCUGGUUUAUUCUCCUGAGAAUCAAUAAUGAUACAGAAGCAGAGCUGGGGAGUGGAACUGAAAUUUCUCAAUUUGGGACACAAUCUUGCUCUCAGUUAUUGAUACAGAAGUUGACACAUAAAAAGUGAAGGGUAAUUCAAACCAACAUUAUCAUAUCUGCUAAAACUUCUAAGUGUCCAAUU